rnacentral:rRNA from 1 species
AUUGAACGCUGGCGGCAUGCCUUACACAUGCAAGUCGAACGGCAGCACGGGUGCUUGCACCUGGUGGCGAGUGGCGAACGGGUGAGUAAUACAUCGGAACAUGUCCUGUAGUGGGGGAUAGCCCGGCGAAAGCCGGAUUAAUACCGCAUACGAUCUACGGAUGAAAGCGGGGGACCUUCGGGCCUCGCGCUAUAGGGUUGGCCGAUGGCUGAUUAGCUAGUUGGUGGGGUAAAGGCCUACCAAGGCGACGAUCAGUAGCUGGUCUGAGAGGACGACCAGCCACACUGGGACUGAGACACGGCCCAGCCUCCUACGGGAGGCAGCAGUGGGGAAUUUUGGACAAUGGGCGAAAGCCUGAUCCAGCAAUGCCGCGUGUGUGAAGAAGGCCUUCGGGUUGUAAAGCACUUUUGUCCGGAAAGAAAUCCUUGGCCCUAAUACGGUCGGGGGAUGACGGUACCGGAAGAAUAAGCACCGGCUAACUACGUG